rnacentral:rRNA from 1 species
CAGUAGCCACGGUAAUACGUAGGUGGCAAGCGUUGUCCGGAAUUAUUGGGCGUAAAGGGCUCGCAGGCGGUUUCUUAAGUCUGAUGUGAAAGCCCCCGGCUCAACCGGGGAGGGUCAUUGGAAACUGGGAAACUUGAGUGCAGAAGAGGAGAGUGGAAUUCCACGUGUAGCGGUGAAAUGCGUAGAGAUGUGGAGGAACACCAGUGGCGAAGGCGACUCUCUGGUCUGUAACUGAUGCUGAGGAGCGAAAGCGUGGGGAGCGAACAGGAUUAGAGACCCCCGUAGUCCCUGUCUCUUAUAC